AAAAAACCGGUACCGGCAAGGACAGGAAAAAAAGACUCCACCGGUCCCACCCCCUCGCCGCCGCCGCCGCCGCCGCCGCCGGCGGCGCGAAGUCAGCUUGCUCCUCCCAGCGGUUCGAAUCGCCGUCUUCGCUGGCCACAGUUCGCACGAACCAGCCCCCCCUUGUCGUCGGUGGCUGCCCCAGCUCCUCCCCCGGCCGAUUAAUCCCCUCUGGUCGCCCUCCGCCGGUUAGUGCUCUUCCUUUCGCCCUUGCUUGCGUGACUCGGAAUUCCUGCAGAAACAAGUCCGAAUCUUUGUCGAGUGCCUUCUUGGGCUCGGAUUUGCUUCUCCUACCGGAAUUUGAAGCGGUUGGUGAUCUAUCUGUAUAUAAGUAUAGCCAGGAGCCAGCCUUUCCUCUGCAGAAAUUUGCGUCCAGCUUACUGAUUAUUUUUUAUCAGUUUGGCCGAAGCUCCUCAAGAUAUCUGCAGAGACACUCUGCGAAAUUUGUCAGUUUGGCCGAAGCUGAAGAUAUCCAAUGGAGUCAUGUAGUGUUGCCAGGAUAAUGAGCUUAGGGAAGCUUGCUAUACACCGGACGUAUUUGUGCACCCUAAUCUUCAGAACUUUGCCAAAGAUGCUAGGCUUCACUCCCAGUUUGCUGAAGAGAUUCUGCAAAGCUGAACAUGUUGAGCUACAACUGACCAAGAAGACUACACUGGGCACAUUGCCGGAGCUGCCUCCGGACAUUUUGAUGGGUAUCUUUGCCACCCUUGAGAUCCCUGACCUCGUGCGUGCCGGCUCUAUCUGCUCAUCCUGGCGCUCCGCGUACACAAGCCUACGGAGCCUUGGGCAGUACAAACUCCAGCAGACGCCAUGUCUCCUCUACACCUCCAAAUCCACCAGUGAGAGUGUUGCAUGCCUCUACAGCCUCGCAGAGAAGCGAUUGUACAAGUUAACCCUCCCGGAGCCGCCUAUCCGCACUAGGUGUUUGAUCGGGUCCUCACAUGGCUGGCUGAUAACUGCUGAUGAGAGAUCUGAGAUGCACCUCGUCAAUCCGGUCACAGGUGAACAGAUUGCUCUCCCUUCAGUGAUCACCAUUGAGCAGGUGAGGCCCAUCUUUGAUGAGCAUGGUGCUGUCCACAAGUAUGAACUCUCAUGGCACACUGGAAUGCACGAUGGUUAUAACUUGCCGUCAAUCUUUGAUCUUGACAACCUGCGGCACGAACUCCACUAUAAGGCGUAUGUGUUCUCCGAUGCAUCCACGGAAAGCUUCAUUGUGGUGCUCAUCCACAAUCCAAUGCGUCAGCUCUCUUAUGCAAGGGUAGGGGAUGACAAGUGGACCUGGCUGCCACCUCAUGAUGUCUAUGACGACUGCACUUACAAGAAUGGCCUAUUGUAUGCAGUGACUUCAACUGGAGAAAUUCAUACUUUUGAUCUUAGUGGGCCUGUCGCCAGUAUGAAGAUAAUUAUGGGGGCAUCUGAGAAUGUUUCAGCUGGCAGUGCGUACAUUGUUCAAGCUCCCUGGGGUGAUCUGCUGCUUAUUUGGAGAAUCUUUGGGUAUUAUGAUUUAGAACCUGAACCUGGGGCAUCUGUGUUUUGGCAAACAGGCAGAAUUAAUAUGUAUGAAGUUGACAUGGUGGCAAGUAAACUUAAGGAAAUCAAUUCGUUGCGUGCCCAUGUGUUAUUUCUUGGGCAUAAUCAAUCUCUUUGUCUCAAUGCUGAAGAAUAUCCAGCUCUCAAGGCAAAUCAUGUCUACUUUACUGAUGAUAGUUUUUUCUGGACAACGGGAUUGAAGAAUAAUCACCGUGACAUGGGAGUUCUCAAUUUGGAUGAUAAUAGCAGGGAGGAAAUUAUAUCUCCUCAUCUUUGCUCCAACUUUCCAGCUCCUAUGUGGAUUACGGCUGAUCUUAGAAAGAUGAACUUGGCAUCAGUAGGGGUAGCUUGAAUAAGAGCUGAUGGGUUCAAUGAGCUAAUAAUGGGUGGUAUUUGCAAGGUUAUUGCAGAUACCCAGGGAGUACUAGGACUGUGCGUGGCCAUUAUUUGCAAUGAGCUAAUAAUGCCCUUAGUUUGUACACUCGACUAGCUUCGAUCCAGUUUACUUUGAAUAAAGAGAUUUCGUUUUCCUUUGUUUACUCAUGUUGUUUACUCAAUGUUCCAAAUAACUCUCUCCAAUUUUAAUGUGUCAACAGAAACUUGAGGAAUACCAAAUUGCUCUCUCCAUUUUUUUGGGGUAUGUUCGGAACAUAUGGUGUAUGCUCAAAACAUUGCUGGGGCGGAAUCAACAACGAAAUCUUGCUGAAGUAGAAACAGAUUUUUUUUUUGCUGUAACAAACAAGAUUUUCAUGCAUACAAACAAGGGAAAAGGUCUAUGUAUAAGGAAGAAGAAUUCCCAACAGGUUGUCAAGAAGUUGAUCAUGAAAUUUGUUCCAGACUUCUCUACCACCUAGAAAGAAACUAAUUGACCAAUGUAGUUGAACAACAAAUGUUCCCAUUUCAUACAUUUACAGGCAGUUUGUGACUGGCCACUCUACACCUUUGAUGCGCAAGAGAGAAUUCUUGGUCCAGUAGAAUGCCGAACAACAUGACGCAUAGUUGCCGCCUCUUUUGUUGUUUGCCUUCGCACAGUAUCGGUUCCUGUAAAACUGGAUUAACUUAGUUUGGUUUUAUGUCAGGAACAAGAAAUAUAGCUAUUCACAGGAGCAACUGCAGCAGCACAUCUAUUAACUUGAGAAUCAAAAACCUACAUGGUAGAUCAAGCAUAUUGUUGCCACCAGUCAGGAC
rnacentral:rRNA from 1 species